CAAUAUUUCUGGUCCUGUCACACCGGAUACUAAACUUCUCUCCAAAAGACCUUCGUUUCUCUCGAGCAACAUGGCGCCUGACGUCAGAGCAACGGAGAGGAAAAAUAUGAUUCUUCGUGACAUCUUUGGCGAAAUCCUGAUACGAGUAAAGAAGAUCGCGUUGGAGCAACUGGCCAAUUUGUUGAUCUGGAAUAUCAACGUUAAAUCGUAAUGCAUCAAUCUUUUCAAAACUGUUAGGAAAAAAGACACAUGCAGUGAAAGUAAACAAAUUUAUUCAUUGGUUUCAGAGCUCACUUGACAUAUCCAUAACAACGCUCAUAUCAGCAAACUCAUAGCUCCAAGGAUCAGCGUCUUUGCCGUUGUCGAUUCGGUCCAUCAAGGAUUGAGAAUAAUUGGCUGGGAAUGUAAUAGCUCCCCAGGCCCACCCUUUCUCGACAGCUUUGGCAGCAUCUUCGUCAUUGUCGUGGGGCAACAUGAGAAACAUUUGUUCGAGCCAAGAAAUUGAGUAAUCCAACGAGUGUCGAGAACUUACGACUUCGGGCGGUACACCCGUGACGCUACUGAGGAUACUGCUCCUUCUUCGGAGUCCC